rnacentral:rRNA from 1 species
UACGAACCGUGCGAACGUUGUUCGGAAUCACUGGGCUUAAAGGGCGCGUAGGCGGGUGACCAAGUCCGGGGUGAAAUCUUUCGGCUCAACCGGAAAAUAGCCUUGGAUACUGGUCGUCUGGAGGGAGGUAGGGGCAUGUGGAACUUCCGGUGGAGCGGUGAAAUGUGUUGAUAUCGGAAGGAACGCCGGUGGCGAAAGCGACGUGCUGGACCUCUUCUGACGCUGAGGCGCGAAAGCUAGGGGAGCGAACGGG